CGUGUCUGUAGUCCCAGCUACUCGGGAGGCUGAGACCGGAGAAUCCCGGGUUCAAGUAAUUCUCCUGUCUCAGCCUCCCGAGUAGCUGGGAUUACAGGCAUG
rnacentral:pre_miRNA from 1 species